UCGGCCGGGCGCGCUAGUGGUGCGGUUGGUGUCGAGCCGGUGGGUCGUGGCGUGCUCCCCGUGCUGAGCUGACGCCUGUGAACGGGAGAGGAGCUGACCAGUGGUGUCGGCGGAGAUACUAUGUGCUGUGCGGGACCGGCGGUAGUGGACAGUGACCCCAGCGCCGGACGACGCACGCCCUAAUGAGGUGUAACGCGACAACGCCCCAUGAACAUAUCUAAGCUUGGGCCACAACUCGUUUUAGUUGCAACUCUUCUGAUGAUGUUACUCACCGUCGGGUGCUCGGCGAUGCCCUCCAUUCCCGACGAUCACAACCGAGCGUGUCGAAAGGCGUCGUGCACGUACGCCCACCUGUUCGUGCCACGACGCUGCAAGUACGACAGCCUCGUCUCAGUCUACCGAAAUGGCACGGUGGACGCCAGCUCGCGCGAGAAAACCCAAAACAAUCUACUGCGGUUCCAGACCGAUAUCAGCCAAACGGAAACUCAGGAGCAGGGAAAGCUCUUCAUUCACAUCUACAACCAGAGGGCGAAGAGGUACAUCUGCUUCUCGCGCUCCGGCAGAGUAAAGACCCGGAAGCGGUUGCCGCCGAGCGGCCGGGGUCGGCACAGUCGGCUGACGUGCCGAUUCGUGGAGCAAAUGCCCAGAGACGAGAGCGGCCACCUGUACACCAUGUACGUGGCCGACGAGCCGCGCCGGCCCAGCAGGCGGGAGCGCGUCAUUGCCUUCUGCAGCGGCGGCCAGGCCAGCCUGCUCAGGCUGCCGUCCGCGCACCGCAUGGCCAGGAGACGUCUGCGACAGUGUGACGCGCGCCGGCUGGCCGGCAGGCGCGCCGCGCGGCGGCGACACCGGCAGAAGCGCGCCGCCGCCAACCGGCAGCGCCGGCGGCGUCGGCAGCGUCGGCAGCGACGCGCCCAGUGCCAGUUCGUGUUUAUGAAGCAGCCGGUGUCGUCGUACCGGGACGCCGUGCGCGCACUCUGACUGCCAGCCGCGCCCAAGCGCGCCGUGCCACGUACAAAGGGUGAUAGGCGGCCAGGACUUGUGGCGGCCAUUGUUAUGUGACUGCGUGAUGCGCGGUGCCAUGUGUUUGUAUGUGAAUGUGCGUGCGGCGCACCAGUGCGUGUGUGUCUGUGCGUGCGCGUGCCAUCGUUGUUUCACUCAUUUGCUCUGUUUUGCUCAAAGCCAUCCGAUGUUUGUCCCAGCGCAGUGGCGGACCAGCUCGUUAAUAAUCAUUACACGUCAUAGUAGACUAUCGCACUCGUCGGCUUUGCGCUUCAAUGGACUCUUAAUUUCAUUACUUCCCGCCAGGAACGGCGGCUGGUUGAAUUUUGGCGCGACGGAGCGGUGAAUUUGGCGCGCCCAGGCCAGGUGCCGGCGGGAAUCAAUUUCCACCUCUCGACUGCGACGCCCGUCAAAACAAAACCAAAUUAGCCGGCUUCCGCACGGCGCGUCAGCUCUCCGUGCCAGAUGGACGGGUUUAAUUAGCGAAAACAGGGCCCAACUGCGCGGCGCGCGCGCUCGACCGCCGCCUGCCGGACCCCUAUCACCGGCCAUCUCCCGGCGGCCGCCGCGCCGCGCUGUUAAUAGCCGAUUAACGCGCGCGCCCGCGACACCAGGACGGCGCGCAUCGUCCGUAACAGCUCCAUCGGCAGCGGGGCGCGCCCGUCGCCACCGGCUGAGCGUGCGCCGCCGUCAGAGCGGCCCGUGCGCGCCGGCGGCCGCCGGUCUGUCGUGCCGCGCCCCGCCCCGCGCCGUAAUGUCAGGGUGUCGGUGGUGUAAUCGCCACUGCGCCGGACACCGGCGCGGCGCCCGGCAUCAUUAUAAAUGACCGCCACUUCCUCCGGUAAACAGGGCUGCGGCAGCGGUCCACCGGCCCUGCCCGCACCCGCCUUCCUGCCGCUCGCUGACGUAUCAAUUCACACGCUCCGCGCCGCCCUGGUUCCCGGCUGUCCGCCGCUCAAAAUCCCGUCAUCGCUCUCUCAGACAUACCGCCCGACUGCCUUACUCGCGCCGGCAGGGAGCCGCGCGCUGGCCGUCGGUGCACGCGCCGCAGCGCGCUGGGCCGUACCCGCGCCGCCGGCGUGUCGUCGGCGCUGUGUCGCUGGCUCCGAAUGGAAUCUCCCACCGUUUAUGCACGGUGCUGUUGAUGUGCGUACUGCCCCGGCAGUCCGGGCGACCCGGGGUCCGGGCCCGCCGCGCGCGCCACGCCGAGGCGACUCGCCAGCCUCUCGGCUUUUAGGGUUGGCGUUUUUACGCUAAAUUGCGCGAUAUUUUAUGGGUGGAGGUGGUGGUGUGGUGGCUGUGACGCCGCCGCCGCCGCCGCCACCGCCAUCACUGCUCUCCUCCGCGAGCACAUAAUCAGUAUUUAUUUCUGCUCUCGCAGAGUUGUGUUGUAAGGGUCACUGCACGCCGACACUUCCAUUCAACACGCCGACACUUCCCAUCCAACAUUCCUUGUCUAAAUAUUGCGAAGAUAAAAUGUGGCGUACUAGUCAGUUUGUGUGUUGUUGGGAGUACCUCUCCAUUUACGAACAAGGAUGUGUAUCUGAUUGUAAAUAGUUUUUUUAGUCAUUUUUGUAGAUGGAUGUUUCAUUAUUACUUCUGUAAUAUAUUUUGGCACUAACAAUGUAAAAUAAAAUAAAUCAUGUCAGCGUGUA
rnacentral:misc_RNA from 1 species